rnacentral:rRNA from 1 species
CCUACGGGAGACAGCAGUCGAGAAUCAUUCACAAUGGGGGAAACCCUGAUGGUGCGACGCCGCGUGGGGGAAUGAAGGUCUUCGGAUUGUAAACCCCUGUCAUGUGGGAGCAAAUUAAAAAGAUAGUACCACAAGAGGAAGAGACGGCUAACUCUGUGCCAGCAGCCGCGGUAAUACAGAGGUCUCAAGCGUUGUUCGGAAUCACUGGGCGUAAAGCGUGCGUAGGCUGUUUCGUAAGUCGUGUGUGAAAGGCGCGGGCUCAACCCGCGGACGGCACAUGAUACUGCGAGACUAGAGUAAGGGAGGGGGAACCGGAAUUCGCGGUGUAGCAGUGAAAUGCGUAGAUAUCGAGAGGAACACUCGUGGCGAAGGCGGGUUCCUGGACAUUAACUGACGCUGAGGCACGAAGGCCAGGGGAGCGAAAGGGAUUAGAUACCCUAGUAGUC